UACGGAGGGUGCGAGCGUUGUCCGGAAUCAUUGGGCGUAAAGGGCGCGUAGGCGGCUUCUCAAGCGUGCGGUGAAAGUCAGGGGCUCAACCCCUGAUCGGCCGUGCGAACUGGGGGGCUGGAGCACUGUAGAGGCAGGCGGAAUUCCGGGUGUAGCGGUGGAAUGCGUAGAGAUCCGGAAGAACACCGGUGGCGAAGGCGGUUCUCUGGGCCUUACCUGACGCUGAGGAGCGAAAGCAUGGGGAGCGAACGGG
rnacentral:rRNA from 1 species